rnacentral:rRNA from 1 species
UACGGAGGAUCCGAGCGUUAUCCGGAUUUAUUGGGUUUAAAGGGUGCUCAGGCGGGAGAUUAAGUCGGCGGUGAAAUUUUGCAGCUCAACUGUAAAAGUGCCUUCGAAACUGGUUUCCUUGAGUGUGGAUGAGGUAGGCGGAAUUUGUGGUGUAGCGGUGAAAUGCAUAGAUAUCACGAGGAACUCCGAUUGCGUAGGCAGCUUACUAAACCAUAACUGACGCUCAAGCACGAAGGCGUGGGGAGUCAAACAGGAUUAGAUACCCUGGUAGU